rnacentral:lncRNA from 1 species
GGGAGCAGCUUCAGAGCCCUUCUCAUUACACACCAGCACCAUCUGUAGCCAGCCCAAGCCUGAUUUGGGAAUGCAUAAAGUACACGAAAAAAAUAGACUCCGAUUCAGGAGCCAGAGAAUCCUAUUUCAAGUUUAAAUUUUGCUUGUGAAAGAUCAUUUGGUUUUAUUCUCAGCAAACAGUGGGCCUCAUCACUCACAAUGAGGGACGCAUGGAGCAAGGAUUACUUCAGAUCAAGGAGAAUGAAGAUCUUCUGUGGCUGACGCUGGCAGUGGAAUCAGUGGUGGGUCUGGUGUCAGAAGGAAUAUGCAGCAGCCCCUUAGGGUGGAAUCUCUACAAAGCGGUCAGUCGUGGAUCUCUUGAGCAAGUUGAAUCAGCCUCGUCUCUGAAGUACUUUCCAGAGCCUUCAGUGGGGUACCAUGUAAUGCCUCCAAACCUAUGUGACUAACAACACUUUCAAAAAUUGCCUCCAACCCCAGAAUAGUUAUUAUCUUCUUCCCUAAGAGUAAUACCAUUUGGUGACUACUUUCCAUGUAUUUGUGAUCUAGAGUUUGCCAGUCUUUACAUAUUAUACAGCUGUCUGUCUUUUUAAUGUGACCAAAUUUUCAAUAAAAUAAUUAGGA